GAUGAACGCUGGCGGCGUGCCUAAUACAUGCAAGUCGAGCGAACAGACGAGGAGCUUGCUCCUCUGACGUUAGCGGCGGACGGGUGAGUAACACGUGGAUAACCUACCUAUAAGACUGGGCUAACUUCGGGAAACCGGAGCUCAUACCGGAUAAUAUAUUGAACCGCAUGGUUCAAUAGUGAAAGACGGUUUUGCUGUCACUUAUAGAUGGAUCCGCGCCGCAUUAGCUAGUUGGUAAGGUAACGGCUUACCAAGGCAACGAUGCGUAGCCGACCUGAGAGGGUGAUCGGCCACACUGGAACUGAGACACGGUCCAGACUCCUACGGGAGGCAGCAGUAGGGAAUCUUCCGCAAUGGGCGAAAGCCUGACGGAGCAACGCCGCGUGAGUGAUGAAGGUCUUCGGAUCGUAAAACGCUGUUAGGAGGGAAGAACAAAUGUGUAAGUAACUAUGCACGUCUUGACGGUACCUAAUCAGAAAGCCACGGCUAACUACGUG
rnacentral:rRNA from 1 species